AGCGAACGCUGGCGGCAGGCCUAACACAUGCAAGUCGAACGAACCUUUCGGGGUUAGUGGCGGACGGGUGAGUAACACGUGGGAACGUGCCUUUAGGUUCGGAAUAACUCAGGGAAACUUGUGCUAAUACCGAAUGUGCCCUUCGGGGGAAAGAUUUAUCGCCUUUAGAGCGGCCCGCGUCUGAUUAGCUAGUUGGUUGAGGUAAUGGCUCACCAAGGCGACGAUCAGUAGCUGGUCUGAGAGGAUGAUCAGCCACAUUGGGACUGAUACACGGCCCAAACUCCUACGGGAGGCAGCAGUGGGGAAUCUUGCGCAAUGGGCGAAAGCCUGACGCAGCCAUGCCGCGUGAAUGAUGAAGGUCUUAGGAUUGUAAAAUUCUUUCACCGGGGACGAUAAUGACGGUACCCGGAGAAGAAGCCCCGGCUAACUUCGUG
rnacentral:rRNA from 1 species